rnacentral:lncRNA from 1 species
GAGAGGGAGCGGCAGAGACUGGAAAGUCUCAGGAAGAAGCAGGAGGCUGAGGAACAGAGGAAGAAGAAAGUGGAGGAGGAAAAGAGACGGCGGCAGGCAGAAAUGAAACAGAAGAGGGAAGAGCGACUAAGGAAGGCGCUGCAGGCUCGGGAGCGGGUGGAACAAAUGGAGGAAGAGAAGAAAAAGCGGAUGGAACAGAAGAUUUUACAGAAUGACGAAAAGUCGCUCCAGGUGAUGGGCUCCUCUUCACGUGACCCGUAGUAAGUGGUGGACUUGUUGCAUGAGGCUGGCGUUAAAUCCAGUGGGUGUUGGGUUCUCAGUCUGAUUAAGACCUGGGUCUGAUUAAGACCUGCUUAAGACCACAGGCCUCAAACUUCAUAAGAUCUCCCAGUUCCCCCUUGUGGAAAAGGCCGUGACGUGUCCAUGGGGGGCUGUGGAGCAGAGCUGUGUGGCUUUCUCAGGUGCGCAUCUCGCAAGUGCGGGAAGAGAAAGCGGUAGAGGAAAGGAACAAGAAAAAACUGUCUAAGAAGGCUGGAGAAGCUGAUGCACGGAAACAGAAAGCACUGAGGAUGGAGGAAGAUGAAUUUGAGCAGCAGGACCUACUGCAGAAAAGGAGAGAGGAUGAAGUGAAGGAGAAGGGGAAGAAAGUCUUGGAGCUAAAGAAUCUCGUAGAGCAGCGCCAGGUGGAACAAGUGAAGGAGAGGGAUCACAAACAACGAGAGAAGGAGAAGGCCCCCCCACCACAGCUGGAGUUGGCAGUGUUUACUGGAAAAAAUAUAAAGGAGGAAGACAGCCCCAGAGAACUGCACCAGCUGCUUGGUCAGGAGAAGAGAGGCGAGCAACCAGAAUUCCUUGCCACGGCUUCUAAUACACGGCUCAAAGUGGUAAAGGAGGAAACCAGUCUGCAGGAGCCUCAGCAGCAGACGGGAGAGGAGAAAAAAAGCAAGCAACCAGAAUCAGUGGCUGCUGCUUCCAGCACAUGGCUGAGCAAAACUGUA